rnacentral:rRNA from 1 species
GACGAACGCUGGCGGCGUGCUUAACACAUGCAAGUCGAACGGAAAGGCCCUGCUUUUGUGGGGUGCUCGAGUGGCGAACGGGUGAGUAACACGUGAGUAACCUGCCCUUGACUUUGGGAUAACUUCAGGAAACUGGGGCUAAUACCGGAUAGGAGCUCCUGCUGCAUGGUGGUGGUUGGAAAGGUUCGGCGGUUGGGGAUGGACUCGCGGCUUAUCAGCUUGUUGGUGGGGUAGUGGCUUACCAAGGCUUUGACGGGUAGCCGGCCUGGGAGGGUGACCGGCCACAGUGGGCCUGAGAUACGACCCAGACUCCUACGGGAGGCAGCAGUGGGGAAUAUUGCACAAUGGGCGGAAGCAUGAUGCAGCAACGCCGCGUGCGGGAUGACGGCCUUCGGGUUGUAAACCGCUUUCGCCUGUGACGAAGCGUGAGUGACGGUAAUGGGUAAAGAAGCACCGGCUAACUACGUG